AGUGAACGCUGGCGGUAGGCCUAACACAUGCAAGUCGAACGGCAGCACAGUAAGAGCUUGCUCUUACGGGUGGCGAGUGGCGGACGGGUGAGGAAUACAUCGGAAUCUACUUUUUCGUGGGGGAUAACGUAGGGAAACUUACGCUAAUACCGCAUACGACCUACGGGUGAAAGCAGGGGAUCUUCGGACCUUGCGCGAUUGAAUGAGCCGAUGUCGGAUUAGAUAGUUGGCGGGGUAAAGGCCCACCAAGGCGACGAUCCGUAGCUGGUCUGAGAGGAUGAUCGGCCACACUGGAACUGAGACACGGUCCAGACUCCUACGGGAGGCAGCAGUGGGGAAUAUUGGACAAUGGGCGCAAGCCUGAUCCAGCCAUACCGCGUGGGUGAAGAAGGCCUUCGGGUUGUAAAGCCCUUUUGUUGGGAAAGAAAAGCAGCAGGUUAAUACCCCGCUGUUCUGACGGUACCCAAAGAAUAAGCACCGGCUAACUACGUG
rnacentral:rRNA from 1 species